AUCACUCUGCUUAAGAAGAACCAGCUAUCACUCUGCUUAAGAAGAACCAGCUAUCACUCUGCUUAAGAAGAACCAGCUAUCACUCUGCUUAAGAAGAACCAGCUAUCACUCUGCUUAAGAAGAACCAGCUAUCACUCUGCUUAAGAAGAACCAGCUAUCACUCUGCUUAAGAAGAACCAGCUAUCACUCUGCUUAAGAAGAACCAGCUAUCACUCUGCUUAAGAAGAACCAGCUAUCACUCUGCUUAAGAAACAGGUCCCAACAGUAGUGAAGGCUCUCCACAAGCAGCUGAAAGAGAAGAGCAUGGAGUCUAGACAGGGCUGGCCAACAUACUGCAUACAACAUACCAGUCUCACAUCAGAGAAGUCUACCUCGUCCAACAUGAAGAUCAAUGCCCUCUAUGUCCUAAUGUGCAUCCACCCUCCUUACGUCUUCCAGCCUCACAUGAAGGUAAUUCUGCCCACGGCGGUGCAGGACCCCUUCUAUAAGAUCACCUCCGAGACCCUACUGGUCACUCAGCAGAUGGUUAAGAUCAGACACCCAUUAGGUGGUAAGAAGCCCAGAGGUUAGCGAGGUGGACCAGGAAAAGAUCACCUCUCAGGUGAUGAGAAAGUGGAGACUGAAUUGGCAACUGGAUAGCUGCUGGUGUCAGAUCAUUACUGACCCUACCAUGGUGCCCUUGAGCAAGGCACUUAACCCCCCAAUUGGCUCUCCAUCCAUGGAUGCUGUGCCGUGUCCGACCCUUUACUUCUCAAAGUGUUUGUCCCGAUUUCUGUUAUAGCCAAAUGGACAAUAAAGUAUCAAUUACCUUCUAUUCUAGACAAACUACCUGCUUCUUCAUUUGACCUCAAGCCCUACGUGAAGGACUUGUUCGCUGGCACCCUGAAGAGGCUGCAGUCGAAGACCAUGAAGUGAAGGAGAGGGCCAUUUCUUGUAUGGGUCACGUGUCACCUAGGAUACCUAGAUUUUCCUGGAGGCUGAAGAACAAGAUCACCAGGUAGGCAGGGUAGAGGCGGACCCUCAGUAUCCAAGGUAACAUCUUCUGCUGAUGUACCUUGACCCCUGAACUGCUCCAUCCCUUCAACACUGUGCCGCUUCCCUGGAUGGAGAGCUAAUUUGGGGGGUUAAGUGCCUUGCUCAAGGGCACCAUAGUAGUAUCUUCUCUACUCUUCCCAGGUUGACAGCGGUGAAGACCACGACUCUCAUCGCUGCAUUGCCCCUUAGGAUUGACUUCCGACCUUUAAUCACGAGGGCAUCCCCAUCCUGGGCUCCUUCCUCGCGAAGAACCAACGAGCCUUCAAGCUAACCGGUCUCAACAUGACCAUGACGAGCAACAGCCUGAAGCCACCCAUGAUCGAGGCCGUGCUCAACGAGCUACCUUGCUUUGAUCGAGGAGAGCAAUAAGCACAUAUCCCAGGUGGCAGUGAUACUCCUCACCUAAGGUGUGUCCCUCCUCCCUGUCCCAAGAUCAGGAACACUGUCCUACCUGGUGUUUCAUCUGGUUCAUUCCCCAGUUGCUCCAAUGAGGGUCUCGCUCUGUCAUCCUAGAGUUCUUCCAAGCACCGGUGGUCACCAAGGCUGGGAACAACAACCUCCUGAAAGCUCUUACAGGCCCCUUUCAGAUUGGGGAAGGCUACAGACCCUUACACCCAUGGACUUUUCCUGGUUAAAUAAAACAGACAGUCCUACUACUCUGUGACCAGGUAGUUGUAGUUUUGGUUAGAUGCCUUUGCAUGGCUGUUAUAGGCCAUACUCACUGCCUCAGAAAUUAUUCCUAUUCUGCCUUGAAAGUUGAUAGUUGGAAACAUGCCUUUGACACAUAUAUGAUAUUAAAAGGACUUUGAAAAAUAUAUUUAGUGCCACUUGUUACCUUGAAAUCACCGUUGAGUUGAAAACGUGCCUUCUUGACAUUCAGGUAAUACUUUGUUAAAAAUGACUUUUCAAAGCCGGUGGUAAUUCACCGCCAUUUUGUAGAGCUGUGAUGUCGAUACAGUAUUCCCAACAAAUAC